GUGCUCGCUUCAGCAGCACAUAUGCUAAAAUUGGAAUGCUACAGAGAAGAUUAGCAUGUGUGGCAAGGAUGACACAGAUUCGGGAAGCAUUCCAUACCUUU
rnacentral:snRNA from 1 species